rnacentral:tRNA from 1 species
GGUACCGUGGUGUAAUGGUUAGCACUCUGGACUCUGAAUCCAGCGAUCCGUGUUCAAAUAUCGGUGGGAUAUCA